rnacentral:lncRNA from 12 species
CAAAGUGGAUUUUGGCUCCAAAAUGGCGCCCCUUGGGGAGUAGGAGGGGUUGUGGGUGGGAAGGGGGGGCCGGCGAGGCAGUGGCGUGAGAGUGGGCAAUGGGGAGAAUCAGUCUUGCUUUUUUUCAUCCUCCUUAGCCUUCCAGGAAGCCACUUGCUCCUGGAGAUGGAGGCACACCCCCAAAUCUGUGGCGCAGAAAUUUAGGGAAAGGUUUCUGUGCGUUCUUGGUGUUUAUUUGGCAGGAUGCGUUUGUUUCUAGCUCUCCACACCCGGGGCCUCAUAGCCCAAUAAAGCUGGAGAGUAAAUGGGAUUUGACUUAAUGCUCCUCAGUAGUUCAACCACUCAAAAUGGAAAGGAAGUGGGCUUCCAGCCCCUAUCUGGGAAAAUACGGCCCCUGCCUUUUCCUUCCUGCUGAAAUCUCUCUUCACUUUAUGCUUACAUGUUGUUCUCCUGAACCCCAGACUCCUAGAGCAGGCUCAGCUGUUCCAAAUAAGGUCUUUACCAGAAAGCCAAAGAUGGACAGCAAUCUUUGGUUCCACUUGGGUUUGCGGUGCCCAAAUACAGUCCCUUGACCUUGGCCUGGGCAGAGGGAAGGGGCUUGGCUACUUUCGCUUUCAGGAGUCAGGAGCAGAGGCCUAAAAUGGAAACAGCUGAGAAGAAAGAAGCCAAGUCAAAAACAAGAUCCAGCUGAAGGAGGUCAGGCCCGAUAAGCAGGCUGACCACAGGCUUGAAAAGGAGGUCAGGCCCCAGGAGCUGGGAGUGUUUCUGCCAAGGGAGGACAAUGGCCCGUGAGGUAGGUGGGCUGUGCUCUUCCACCCCACAUUCUGCUUCACUUAGCAGAGUGAGGCCUUGCUGGCUUCCCUCUCUUUCUCUGCUGACCGCUGAAUUUUCUAGGCUUCGUUGAAAUGGGGAGAGGAAGGGUAUGCCUGAAGAACUAGAGGCGAGGAAUCUUUGGGGAAAAUGAAACACAUCCAAAUCUCCAGCUCCGAUCUCACCUCCUCCAACAACCCUUGCCAAGUCACUCCCCAUGGGUCUUGGCUCUACCUCUCUACCCCACUCUGUUGCACUUCAUAUUUUGUUUCUGCUUUGGUAGGCAGCCUGAAAUUGCUCAUCAAGGAAAAAGGCCAGACUGAUUCGAAAUGGCUUCUUUUGAAUGAAGCAAUUAAUGCUAAAAGGAACAUGUUGUCUCCUCAGCAUUUGUAAGGUAAAACAUUCAUUGUACUUCCUGGCACUCUAUCAAGCCUCUCCUUGGCCUAAGCCAGUAGAGAAAUGGUUUGCUGCUUGUGCUCUUGACCUCUGAUAAUCAGGAGGAUGUUGGUGAUAAACUUGAUAGCAGUGAUUCUCCUUAGGACUAGGAAUGUGUCUGGGAACUAUAUGCCUGGAUCCCUCGUUCUCAGACCCUGACUUACUGGCUUUGGCAGGUCCAUCAAGGCUGGCAUCCUCUCCAUUUACAAAAUUAGAGAUGUUACCUUAUGAUUGUUAGGUUUUGAAAUGCAGUAGAGUAAUGCAACAGAGUAUUAUCUUAAUUGUAUUUGUUCUGGUGAUUCAGCUUUUCCAAGAACAUUACCUUCUUAAAGAGACUUACUGUUCAUUUGCUCACUCACUAAUGCAUGCGUUUAUUCAGAACACAUUAAUUAAUGAGGUCCAGCGAAUCCGAGACUAUAUGGGGAAUGUUCUGGAGUAGGGACACAGAGCAAGACAUAGCGCCCAUCCUCAAGGAGCGCUCAGUCUAGUGUGGAGGGCAGGCAA